GAUGAACGCUGGCGGCGUGCUUAACACAUGCAAGUCGAACGGAAAGGCCCAAGCUUGCUUGGGUACUCGAGUGGCGAACGGGUGAGUAACACGUGGGUGAUCUGCCCUGCACUUCGGGAUAAGCCUGGGAAACUGGGUCUAAUACCGGAUAGGACCACAUUUUGGAUAGUGUGGUGGAAAGUUUUUCGGUGUGGGAUGAGCUCGCGGCCUAUCAGCUUGUUGGUGGGGUAAUGGCCUACCAAGGCGUCGACGGGUAGCCGGCCUGAGAGGGUGUACGGCCACAUUGGGACUGAGAUACGGCCCAGACUCCUACGGGAGGCAGCAGUGGGGAAUAUUGCACAAUGGGCGCAAGCCUGAUGCAGCGACGCCGCGUGGGGGAUGACGGCCUUCGGGUUGUAAACUCCUUUCGCUAGGGACGAAGCGCAAGUGACGGUACCUGGAGAAGAAGCACCGGCUAACUACGUG
rnacentral:rRNA from 1 species